AUUGAACGCUGGCGGCAUGCUUUACACAUGCAAGUCGAACGGCAGCGCGGGCUUCGGCCUGGCGGCGAGUGGCGAACGGGUGAGUAAUGCAUCGGUACGUGCCCAGUAGUGGGGGAUAGCCCGGCGAAAGCCGGAUUAAUACCGCAUACGACCUGAGGGUGAAAGCGGGGGACCGAAAGGCCUCGCGCUAUUGGAGCGGCCGAUGUCGGAUUAGCUAGUUGGUGGGGUAAAGGCUUACCAAGGCGACGAUCCGUAGCUGGUCUGAGAGGACGACCAGCCACACUGGGACUGAGACACGGCCCAGACUCCUACGGGAGGCAGCAGUGGGGAAUUUUGGACAAUGGGGGCAACCCUGAUCCAGCCAUGCCGCGUGCGGGAAGAAGGCCUUCGGGUUGUAAACCGCUUUUGUUCGGGAAGAAAUCCUCUGGGCUAAUACCCCGGGGGGAUGACGGUACCGGAAGAAUAAGCACCGGCUAACUACGUG
rnacentral:rRNA from 1 species